GGCUGGACAGCCUGGCAGACCCAGGCUCAAGGCACAGAGGGAUCGGGAGAGACGCCUGGCGAGGCGUCCCCUUGGCGAUCCGCCCGAUGCCGCGCCCCCCGGACUCGCGCCGACUGAGCUGGCCCAGAACUGGACUUAAAAAGGGAGGUCUAGAGGAACAGAAGAAACAUGACUCGAUACUCUUGCUGUAUCUACUACGGCAGCGGACCUCUUGGCUGGACUCCUUGUUCUGUGCCCCCCCCCCCCCAUCUAAAUCUUAACCAAGCCAGUGACUAUGCCCAUCACUGUAAUUAUCAGUCGUCAAUCCUCAGUCACAGCAGAACUGGACUAAUAGGAGAACUGGAUCACCAGCAGAGAUGGAUUUAUUUUAAAUUAAUAAAUUUAUAGUGACAAGG